UCCUGUCUGAAUAUGGGGGGACCAUCCUCCAAGGCUAAAUACUCCUGACUGACCGAUAGUGAACCAGUACCGUGAGGGAAAGGCGAAAAGAACCCCGGCGAGGGGAGUGAAAAAGAACCUGAAACCGUGUACGUACAAGCAGUGGGAGCACAGGUUUACCUGUGUGACUGCGUACCUUUUGUAUAAUGGGUCAGCGACUUAUAUUCUGUAGCAAGGUUAACCGAAUAGGGGAGCCGGAGGGAAACCGAGUCUUAAYYGGGCGUUAAGUUGCAGGGUAUAGACCCGAAACCCGGUGAUCUAGCCAUGGGCAGGUUGAAGGUUGGGUAACACUAACUGGAGGACCGAACCGACUAAUGUUGAAAAAUUAGCGGAUGACCUGUGGCUGGGGGUGAAAGGCCAAUCAAAC
rnacentral:rRNA from 1 species